rnacentral:rRNA from 1 species
GACGUAGGGCGCGAGCGUUGUCCGGAUUUAUUGGGCGUAAAGAGCUCGUAGGCGGCUUGUUGCGUCGACUGUGAAAACCCGCGGCUUAACUGCGGGCUUGCAGUUGAUACGGGCAGGCUCGAGCACAGUAGAGGCAGGUGGAAUUCCCGGUGUAGCGGUGGAAUGCGUAGAGAUCGGGAAGAACAUCAGUGGCGAAGGCGGCCUGCUGGGCUGUUGCUGACGCUGAGGCGCGACAGCGUGGGGAGCAAACAGG